UGUUAUCUAUUUCUAACAUGCGUAAUUCAUGCGUGCACAUGAAAACACAGAAAAAAAUGUGUCAUGGUAAAUUUGGAGCAGUGUUAUGAGGACCCUACACGCACUUUUUUUGUUGCCACUUCUGGGUGGAUCAAUAGUUUCUCAUCCGGUGCUCAAUGGUCCUGCCAUGGCAUACCUUGGUUCCCAAGUGGUUCUGCGUUGUAGCGCCUCCGAUUCCUCCCUGCCAGUCACAUAUGAGCUGAGAAAGGACGGUCUCCUGAUUGACGCGAGAGCACACCUCCAAGAGGUCCAGCCUGCAUCAUUCUCGUUGAAGGUGACUUUGAGGUCAGGAGGGCUGUACCAUUGUGAGACAAAGACCGAAGGAAGCGUGGGAAUUAGCAACAGCAUCAGAUUCAAUGUCGUUAUACCAGCAUCAAACACCAGGGUGAUCUCUGACCCCUUUCCCGCAGUCCUAUAUGAGGGGUCCAGAAUGGUUUUGAGGUGCGACGCUGCAAAGGGCUCCCACCUCUCCUAUAGCUGGUUUUUCAACAAGAAGCAAGUUACCUCUGCUACCUCUCCUCGGCUGCACAUCACUGGGAAUCAGCUUGUGAUGGAAAGGGCGACUCCAGAUUAUACUGGGGCCUAUUCAUGUAUGGCAUGGUCCAGGGUGCAGGAUGUCCAAAGGUUUUCCAGCAGCUCAGAAGUCAAGGUGAUAGUCAAAGUCCAUCUUUCGAAACCAGAGAUCUCUCUUUCCAUCUUCAAAGAGGGAACCGGCUACCGUGGUAACGUGACCUGCUGGUCAUCCAGAGGAACUGUUCCGGUCAACUUCUCUCUUUUGGUAGACGAUAAGAUGGUGGCCUCCGUGGUGGCUUCUGAAUCCGUCAUUGCACGGUUCAGUGUAGCAGUCGUCCCUGGGCUAGAUAUGGGCGUGGCUCGAUGCUGGGUGAAAAAUGAGGUGCAAGAGUUGAUGAGUGAGCCUCUGACACUGGAAGUGGUUCCAGUUGGAGGUGACGUAAACGUUGAAGUUCAAUAUGUCUACAGAUCGGACGCCACACUGGCUGCGGCCUUACUGACAUGUCAUGUCAGUCGAGGGUCUUUCCCUUUUGUCUCUUGGCGUUUUAAUAACGCCACGCUUCCUUCUGAAACACAAGUGGAUUUCAAGGGGCAGCAGGUCCGACCUCAGUUUGCCCUGAUGGACUGGGGACGUACUCUUGUUCUAGCCAAACUGGACUCCGAAGACUCAGGCUUUUACCAAUGCAGGGCCAGGGACAGAUAUGACGACUCCAGUCCUUGGGUGGAAAGUGGAGCCAUUCUCAUUCAAAUCAAAGACUGGAUGCUUGACAACAGACCCCAAGAAGCAGCGUCUCCUGAAACAGCACCAAUGGUCACGGAGAUCAUUGCCAUAAUAUUCUGCUGCUUUCUACUCCUCACUUUGGCAGUCAGCGGCUAUUGCGUGUACAGGAUGAUUGACAACAAAAAAGGUCUUCGCUCAAGUACGGCCGCAAAGAUUCUUCCUUUCAGUGCUACUUCUGAUGUGCUGCCUCUGUCUAUUCCUGUCUUCCAUUUGGAGGGCAAACAGGCUGAUACAGUACAUGCUCAACAGGCUGCAGUAUAAACUCUCAGAUUAUGGAGAGCCCUGUAUGAGAGUGUGCCUUUCAUCAAGAUUCUUCGAGCAUUUUUUCACUGUUGCAUUUAAUUUCUUUUAAUCAUCAUAGUCAUUUUCUGCAGGUCAAUUCUGAUCAUUUUGUA